GAUGAACGUUAGCUACAGGCUUAACACAUGCAAGUCGAGGGGAAACGAUAGAGAAAGCUUGCUUUUUCUAGGCGUCGACCGGCGCACGGGUGAGUAACGCGUAUUCAACCUGCCCAUCCCUUGGGGAUAACCUAGCGAAAGUAUGACUAAUAUCCAAGGACAUCUCUGGACGACCUCUGACAGGGAUUAAAGAUUUAUCGGCUCUGGUUGGGGAUGCGGCUGAUUUGCUUGUUGGCGGGGUAACGGCCCACCAAGGCGACGAUAAGUAGGGGUACUGAGAGGAUGGUCCCCCACAUUGGAACUGAGACACGGUCCAAACUCCUACGGGAGGCAGCAGUGAGGAAUAUUGGUCGAUGGGCGAGAGCCUGAACCAGCCAAGUAGCGUGCAGGAUGACGGCCCUAUGGGUUGUAAUCUGCUUUUAUAAGGGAAUAAAGUGAGUCUCGUGAGACUUUUUGCAUGUACCUUAUGAAUAAGGACCGGCUAAUUCCGUGCCAGCCGCCGCGGUA
rnacentral:rRNA from 1 species